UGGGGAAUUUUGGACAAUGGGCGAAAGCCUGAUCCAGCAAUGCCGCGUGUGUGAAGAAGGCCUUCGGGUUGUAAAGCACUUUUGUCCGGAAAGAAAUCCUUGGCUCUAAUACAGUCGGGGGAUGACGGUACCGGAAGAAUAAGCACCGGCUAACUACGUGCCAGCAGCCGCGGUAAUACGUAGGGUGCAAGCGUUAAUCGGAAUUACUGGGCGUAAAGCGUGCGCAGGCGGUUUGCUAAGACCGAUGUGAAAUCCCCGGGCUCAACCUGGGAACUGCAUUGGUGACUGGCAGGCUAGAGUAUGGCAGAGGGGGGUAGAAUUCCACGUGUAGCAGUGAAAUGCGUAGAGAUGUGGAGGAAUACCGAUGGCGAAGGCAGCCCCCUGGGCCAAAUACUGACGCUCAUGCACGAAAAGCGUGGGGAGCAAACAGGAUUAGAUACCCUGGUAGUCCACGCCCUAAAACGAUGUCAACUAGUUGUUGGGGAUUCAUUUCCUUAGUAACGUAGCUAACGCGUGAAGUUGGCCGCCUGGGGAGUACGGUCGCAAGAUUGAAAAACUCAAAUGAAUUGAC
rnacentral:rRNA from 1 species